rnacentral:rRNA from 1 species
AUUGAACGCUGGCGGCAGGCCUAACACAUGCAAGUCGAGCGAGCGGCGGGCGGGUGAGUGAUGCAUGGGAAUUGCCCAGUCGAGGGGGAUAACAGUUGGAUACGACUCCUUAUACCGCAUACGAAAGGAUUACUCAGGUGGGGUUAGUUAGUUGGUGAGGUAAUGGCUCACCAAGGCGACGAUCCCUAGCUGGUCGGAGAGGAUGAUCAGCCAAACUGGAACUGAGAAACGGCCAAGACUCCUACGGGAGGCAGCAGUGGGGAAUAUUGGACAAUGGGGGAAACCCUGAUGAAGCCAUGCCGCGGGGGGGAAGAAGGCCUUCGGGUUGUAAAGCACUUUGAGCAAGGAGGCGUUACUCGAAGAAGAAGCAACGGCUAACUCCGUGCCAGCAGCCGCGGUAAUAC